CGACUUUCCGAAGCGGAUCCUCUGUUUUGCCCACCACCCAGGACAAUGGAUCGGAUCCCAGCCGGCGAACCAAAACAACGACGCCGUAAAAGGGGCAGACAAAGCGGUCUUCUAGUCAGGCUCCAGGGACGGGCACAUCGCGCACCACCCCCAAGCAUACUACUCGCCAAUGUCCAGUCUCUUGACAACAAGGUUGAUGAAAUACGAGCAAGGGCAGCAUUCCAGAAAGACAUAAAGUGCGAGCUGAUCAAGGGGUCGGAAAUGUGGAUAUUGCCAGAUGUUCACUGUUCGAGGAACAGGCCGUAGAAGCCUUAUUGUUGGCAAAAGUGUCCAUAACCAGAGAUUCAGCAGGUGGAGGACCUGCUUUAUCAGGAGGAUAAUCUGGAAAUACUGACAAUGGGCUCAUUGUUCCUGACAUCCCAUGCCCCGUCUACUGAGAAUCUUGCUGUGCUCCAACAUCAAGUGAACCCUACCAACGACUCAUCUUUUGGUCAGGACAUAUACAUGCAUGCUCUUCGAUUAGUAUUGAGUCUCCAACCUAUUUAGGUGCAGUCCUCCCACACUAUAUAGGAUAUUGUUUUAGCCCCAGUGCCACUCUUGAUAAUGGCAAACAUUUGUAUUUUUUGGAGGAGGGUGAAAGGAUAGCAGGCCCAGCUGUCAAAGUGAGAGGGGAGGCUAUUCUGGAUAGAGCAGGUACUUGUGUGUAGUCUAUUUCUUGUGAGCUUUUCUGUCCUCAGAUACAGAAAGCUGUGAAAGCCUGUCUGCAGAUUAAGAGGUCCCAAUGAAGAGCAGCAGUUUUCAGUCUUGGUGCUGGGGACUCAAAACGUUUGUUUGUGCCUUGGCACUACACAGCUGAUUCAAAUGAUCAAGUCAUCAUCAAGCUUCAAAUGGUAUGUUUUGAUGUGAGAGAGAAAGACCCGAGGAAAUCCCCUCAGCGCCGCCUCACCCGCUCUUAAAAUAAUCUUCGGGCCGACUGGGAGUCCAAGGCUGGUUAGAAGACACCGCUAGAGACACUAUGUAAUUGUGAUGAACUGAGAGAAUAUUAGGGUGGCACUAAUUCAUUAAUCAUAUGCUGUCUUCCCUGCUCCUCUGUUUUACCUCUCUCCCCACCUCUUUCUUCCUCUUUUUUGUAUUUAU